rnacentral:rRNA from 1 species
AAAAAAACAAUGCAUUUGCUUGCACUGUUCCAUACAUGGGCCUGUGGAUCACUUGGGCCCUUCCUCCCCCAUCGGAUAAAAUCCCAGCGCCUCGCUUUGCGGCGGAGACGAACCGCCGGCGGCAGCUGAAGCCUGAGAGCGCCACGACGAUGAUGGCCGCAGCGAGAAUGGCCUUCGCAUCAAGCUGUCGCGUCCACCUCCUCCUCCCUUCCUCGCCUUCAACCCCCAUCUUCGCCAGGACCCGAGUUGGCUGCAGGGGCAUAGCCAAAUCCAUCUCGUUCUUGGCUCCGUUAUCGGCUGCGAGAUCCGCCGCCCUCUUCUGCUCUUGCUCCUCGCCUUCCUCCGACGCCGUCGUCGCACCGGCACCUACGCAGGCGGUUGUAGAGGAGAAGAAGCCGGCGCCCGCGGCUGGGGAGGAGGAGAAAGGCGAGGUUCCGGUGGGCGAGCUCGCUGGCCUCCUGGACAUCCGGGUUGGGCGGGUCGUGAAGGCGUGGCUGCACCCAGAGGCGGACACUCUGUACGUGGAGGAGGUCGACGUCGGCGAGGAGCAACCGCGCACCAUCUGCAGCGGCCUCGUCAAGUACCUACCCCUCGACCAACUCCAGGACAGCAAUGUCAUUGUUCUUGCUAACCUGAAACCAAGAAACAUGCGCGGCAUCAAGUCUAAUGGCAUGCUUAUGUGUGCCUCUGAUGCUUCUCACGAGAAUGUUGAGUUGCUCACCCCUCCAGAAGGUUCUGUUCCCGGUGAAAGGGUAUGGUUUGGAUCUGAAGAUGAAAAGAGUAUUCAAUCAGAACCUGCAACAGGAAACCAGGUUCAAAAGAAAAAGAUUUGGGAAUCUGUUCAGCCUCACCUUAAGACAACGGAUAACUGCGUAGCAGUUCUUGGUGAGCAACCAAUGCGCACCUCAGCAGGCAUGGUUUUCUGCAAAUCAUUGCAGGGUGCAAGCGUGUCAUAAUACUGAUUGAAGAGAUUAUUUCUUCUUCCUUUUUGGCUGUAUCCAUAUAAUGUAUUUCCCUGAAAUUAAUUAUAGUAGGAGUGAAAUCUUUAAUGAAAAGAUUGCUUCUGAGGAUAUUUUAUUGAUAGUAGCCACAUUUUAUAGUUUCUCAGUGGUCAAAGCUCAAAAGUGAGUCCAUG